rnacentral:rRNA from 1 species
GAUGAACGCUAGCGGGAGGCUUAAUACAUGCAAGUCGAGCGGGAUUCUCCUUCGGGAGAUGAGAGCGGCGCACGGGUGAGUAACGCGUACGUAACCUGCCUUACAGAGGGGAAUAGCCCUGGGAAACUGGGAUUAAUACUCCAUAGUAUAUAGAUGGCGCAUGCUGUUUAUACUAAAGUUGAGGCGCUGUAAGAUGGGCGUGCGUGCUAUUAGCUAGUUGGUGAGGUAACGGCUCACCAAGGCUACGACGGGUAGCCGGCCUGAGAGGGUGACCGGCCACACUGGAACUGAGACACGGUCCAGACUCCUACGGGAGGCAGCAGUGGGGAAUAUUGCACAAUGGGCGCAAGCCUGAUGCAGCAACGCCGCGUGAGGGAUGAAGGCCUCGG